rnacentral:rRNA from 1 species
AUUGAACGCUGGCGGCAGGCCUAACACAUGCAAGUCGAACGAGUGGCGGACGGGUGAGUAAUGUCUGGGAAACUGCUCGAUGGAGGGGGAUAACUACUGGAAACGGUAGCUAAUACCGCAUACCAUCGGAUGUGCCCAGAUGGGAUUAGCCAGUAGGUGGGGUAACGGCUCACCUUGGCGCCGAUCCCUAGCUGGUCUGAGAGGAUGACCAGCCAAGCUGGAACUGAGGCACGGUCCGGACUCCUGCGGGUGGCAGCAGUGGGGAAUAUUGCACAAUGGGCGCAAGCCUGAUGCAGCCAUGCCGCGUGUAUGAAGAAGGCCUUCGGGUUGUAAAGUACUUUCGGCGAGGAGGCGUUACUCGCAGAAGAAGCACCGGCUAACUCCGUGCCAGCAGCCGCGGUAAUUC